rnacentral:rRNA from 1 species
UACGAAGGGGGCGAGCGUUGUUCGGAUUUACUGGGCGUAAAGGGCGCGCAGGCGGCUCAUUUUGUCAGGCGUGAAAGCCCCGGGCUUAACCUGGGAACUGCGUUUGAUACGGAUGGGCUAGAGUUCGGGAGAGGAGAGUGGAAUUCCCAGUGUAGAGGUGAAAUUCGUAGAUAUUGGGAAGAACACCGGUGGCGAAGGCGGCUCUCUGGACCGAGACUGACGCGUGAGGCGCGAAAGCGUGGGGAGCAAACAGG